rnacentral:rRNA from 1 species
GUGGGGAAUAUUGGACAAUGGGCGAAAGCCUGAUCCAGCCAUGCCGCGUGAGUGAUGAAGGCCCUAGGGUUGUAAAGCUCUUUCAACGGUGAAGAUAAUGACGGUAACCGUAGAAGAAGCCCCGGCUAACUUCGUGCCAGCAGCCGCGGUAAUACGAAGGGGGCUAGCGUUGUUCGGAAUUACUGGGCGUAAAGCGCACGUAGGCGGACAUUUAAGUCAGGGGUGAAAUCCCGGGGCUCAACCCCGGAACUGCCUUUGAUACUGGGUGUCUAGAGUCCGGAAGAGGUGAGUGGAAUUCCGAGUGUAGAGGUGAAAUUCGUAGAUAUUCGGAGGAACACCAGUGGCGAAGGCGGCUCACUGGUCCGGUACUGACGCUGAGGUGCGAAAGCGUGGGGAGCAAACAGGAUUAGAAACCCUUGUAGUCC